rnacentral:rRNA from 1 species
UACAGAGGGGGCAAGCGUUGUUCGGAAUUACUGGGCGUAAAGGGUGCGUAGGCGGCGAGGUAAGUCUGGUGUGAAAUCCCGGGGCUCAACCCCGGAACUGCACUGGAUACUGCUUUGCUAGAGUACUGGAGAGGGAACUGGAAUUUACGGUGUAGCAGUGAAAUGCGUAGAUAUCGUAAGGAAGACCAGCGGCGAAGGCGAGUUCCUGGACAGUUACUGACGCUGAGGCACGAAGGCCAGGGGAGCAAACGGG